rnacentral:rRNA from 3 species
GCUGAUGCGUUGUUGGGUAGGGGAGCGUUCUGUAAGCCUGCGAAGGUGACCUGUGAGGGUUGCUGGAGGUAUCAGAAGUGCGAAUGCUGACAUAAGUAACGAUAAAGCGGGUGAAAAGCCCGCUCGCCGGAAGACCAAGGGUUCCUGUCCAACGUUAAUCGGGGCAGGGUGAGUCGACCCCUAAGGCGAGGCCGAAAGGCGUAGUCGAUGGGAAACGGGUUAAUAUUCCCGUACUUGGUGUUACUGCGAAGGGGGGACGGAGAAGGCUAUGUUGGCCGGGCGACGGUUGUCCCGGUUUAAGCGUGUAGGUGUGUGUUCCAGGUAAAUCCGGUUCACUUUAACACUGAGGCGUGAUGACGAGGCACUACGGUGCUGAAGCAACAAAUGCCCUGCUUCCAGGAAAAGCCUCUAAGCAUCAGGUAACAUCAAAUCGUACCCCAAACCGACACAGGUGGUCAGGUAGAGAAUACCAAGGCGCUUGAGAGAACUCGGGUGAAGGAACUAGGCAAAAUGGUGCCGUAACUUCGGGAGAAGGCACGCUGACACGUAGGUGAAGUGAUUUACUCACGGAGCUGAAGUCAGUCGAAGAUACCAGCUGGCUGCAACUGUUUAUUAAAAACACAGCACUGUGCAAACACGAAAGUGGACGUAUACGGUGUGACGCCUGCCCGGUGCCGGAAGGUUAAUUGAUGGGGUCAGCGCAAGCGAAGCUCCUGAUCGAAGCCCCGGUAAACGGCGGCCGUAACUAUAACGGUCCUAAGGUAGCGAAAUUCCUUGUCGGGUAAGUUCCGACCUGCACGAAUGGCGUAAUGAUGGCCAGGCUGUCUCCACCCGAGACUCAGUGAAAUUGAACUCGCUGUGAAGAUGCAGUGUACCCGCGGCAAGACGGAAAGACCCCGUGAACCUUUACUAUAGCUUGACACUGAACAUUGAGCCUUGAUGUGUAGGAUAGGUGGGAGGCUUUGAAGUGUGGACGCCAGUCUGCAUGGAGCCGACCUUGAAAUACCACCCUUUAAUGUUUGAUGUUCUAACGUGGACCCGUAAUCCGGGUUGCGGACAGUGUCUGGUGGGUAGUUUGACUGGGGCGGUCUCCUCCUAAAGAGUAACGGAGGAGCACGAAGGUUGGCUAAUCCUGGUCGGACAUCAGGAGGUUAGUGCAAUGGCAUAAGCCAGCUUGACUGCGAGCGUGACGGCGCGAGCAGGUGCGAAAGCAGGUCAUAGUGAUCCGGUGGUUCUGAAUGGAAGGGCCAUCGCUCAACGGAUAAAAGGUACUCCGGGGAUAACAGGCUGAUACCGCCCAAGAGUUCAUAUCGACGGCGGUGUUUGGCACCUCGAUGUCGGCUCAUCACAUCCUGGGGCUGAAGUAGGUCCCAAGGGUAUGGCUGUUCGCCAUUUAAAGUGGUACGCGAGCUGGGUUUAGAACGUCGUGAGACAGUUCGGUCCCUAUCUGCCGUGGGCGCUGGAGAACUGAGGGGGGCUGCUCCUAGUACGAGAGGACCGGAGUGGACGCAUCACUGGUGUUCGGGUUGUCAUGCCAAUGGCACUGCCCGGUAGCUAAAUGCGGAAGAGAUAAGUGCUGAAAGCAUCUAAGCACGAAACUUGCCCCGAGAUGA